AGUUUCUUCUUAGAUAAUUGAAGUUAUUAUUACCCCUGGUCUCGUCGAUGCAUCCAACCAGACUUCUUACAUUAUUUGUUACAUAAUCAUGAAACAACAAUCUCAACAGAAUAAGGAAGAUACCAAAGCAACAAGAUCAACCAACACCAGACGAUAGUAAUAUGGCAUCCAAGACUACUCUAUAAACUAAGAAGCCUAGCACUUGCACGCCAUCCAAACUGGGUUAUAGACUCCCUGUUAAUCUGUUCGAGCCACUUGGUGCCAAGCUUCAUGGAUUCCUUGUAUUGCUCCUUUUGUAACAAUGCCCAUGACCAACAACCAACUGGUACACCAGAGUAGCACCUGCAUACACGAGUGAUUUUUUUUUGUCAACGUCAUUCCUGCAUGGCCAAAUUGGAAGGAGUACGUAAGAGAGAUCUGAAGGAUUGGAAUAUCACCAAAGAACUAGCCAUGGACAUGGGUGCAAUAAAGAAAAGAUUUUUGAUAGUUUCCUGUUCACAGUAAAAGCUACACCAUGUGUCCCCCCUGCCACUUACACUUGUUCAAUUGUCCUUUGUAAGGACUACCCUCGUGCAUUAAAACCACAGGAAUUCUGACCUUAGAGGCAGUUUCAGACUCAUAACUGUUUUGAUCUAAAUCUGACCCACUUAACAUUAAACAGGUCUUGCCCCUGAGUUAGUUGAACCCCCGCUACUUUGUGGACAAUCUCAUUCCAGUCAUUUAAAUGCUUUCCAGUGAGGGUCGGCGGAAAUCAACCAGUGGAUUUGCCACUGCCAGGACACAGCCAACACUUCUCUGAAGAAUUCGACAGCCAUGUUCUUCGUCAGUUAAGUUUGUAUCGUCUGACAAAGGCUACAGUAGCUGUUGAACCGGUAUGGGCCCAAGCCCAUCAAGCUUAUCUCUUAGGGCCCAAGCCCAUGUGGGGUGCUGACCUAGAAGGGGACAUCCAGUCCUCCCGUUCCCAUCCAAGGAGCCACACGAGAUCAACCCCUCGCGCUAGCCACCAGACCGCUGCUCGCCCCCGUCUGUAGGUACCUCUCUCCCUUGAUUCUACAUGGUAUCAGAGCCUGGACGGCAGGACCUGAGGUGAAGGAGGUGGCGCCGGCCGGCGAGGUGGCGGGAUCCGGCAAGGCGGCGGCGCAGAUCUGAGCCGGCAGCAAGCACAACGAGCUCGUGGUGCGGAGAGGCUGCGCGUGUGAGCGGGAGACGCGGGGGCAGCGCAGGAGCUGCGUGCGUGCGCGCGUGCUGCGUGAGAGGGACCAGGCCGAGUGGAGGCUGCCUGUGCUGGCUGCUGCUGGUGGAACUGCGGGGAAGAGGAGGAGCAGAGGAGGAGCGGUAGAGGGGGAAGAAGGGCAGCUGCUGAUGCCUGCUGGUGCAUCUGGAGUGGGCUGCUACUGGUUGCCCAAGGAGAAGGUUGCAGCUGCUGUUGCCGCUAGUGCUACCACUUGUGUUGGUGGUUUGCUGCUAGAGUUGCUGCUUCUGCUGUAGUUUGCGGAAGAGGAGGUUGCUGCUGGGCAGCGCUGUGCUGAAUUGCUACUGCUGCCUUGCUGUGUCUAGGAGGAAGAAGGGGCUGCUGUUUGGAGAGGAAGGAGGAAUUGUUGGUGUUGUGCUGCUGCUGUUUGCUGAAGGUGAAGGGGGUAACUACUAGAGCUGCUACUGAGUUGUUGGUUUUGCUGCUGCUGAAAGUGGACGAGGUGUUGUGUGUUGGAGCUGCUGCUGCUGAUUGUAGAGAGGGGCUUGAGGGGGAGAGACUCAUGCUCAAGGAGAGGCUCUUCCUAAUGGAGCAGGAGGUCAGCAAGGGAUGCCGUGUCGUGACCAUCGAGGCGCGUUUUGCAGGGGCAGAUGGUGCUGCUGGCAGCGCCAAGAAAGCUGUUGUUCUGGAGGAGAUGAGUGCGGGUGGUGCUCACCAUGCAGUCAUGGAGUACCUAGGGAAUGAUUGACAUGAGAAGGGGUUAUGUGGUGCCAAAGAAGAGUGGUGAGGACAGUGCAGAGAAGGCCAGUGCAGGGUCAGAGAAGGAAUACAACAUGACUGUAGCCAAGGCUGAGAGGCUCAGGGAGGAAUUGGUAAGCCUCAAGAGGAAGGUGGAGGAAAUCCAGGCUGGCAAGGAAAAGGGGGCAACACGUGAGAAGGAUGCUUAGACCGUUAAGUUGAGGGCUGAGUUGGAGGAGCUUCACGCUUUCAUAUCACAGCUCGAAACUGCAGGCUUGAAUGCUUGCUAUGGAGACUGUGCUCACUGGACCUCCACCGAUGAAGAUAACCCGGAAAAGGCAUCUCUUGCUGCUAAUGAGAAUGGUCUAGAAUGGGUUCUAGACUCUGGAGCAUCUAGGCAUGUUGCGGGAACUCCUGCGUGUUCGAGUCUUACAAUAAGCAUCCUCCUUCUCACACGGGCACUAUACAAACCGUCGAUAGCACAAAACAGCGUCAUUGGGGUUGAUUCAGGAGCGAGCGACAAACGAGGAAGACGGUUGGGACUGGCACGAGGCGUAGGGGGCUCUGGUAUAUGAAUCAAGGGGUGCAGCCAGACUUGGUUUGUGCUGCGACCAUGGAGGACAAGGAGAAGCAGGCGAUGAUCCAUCACUGUAGGAUGUGCCAUGUCUUGUUUGACAAGAUGAGUAGAAUAUUUCUGGAUGUUAUGUGUGGAAUAGGCAAGGGCAAGCUGACAUGUGAUGCUUGCGAAUAUGCAAAACACACAGGAGCUGCAUAUGUGAGUAAGGGGCUUAGGAACAUAUCUCCUUUUAUGCUCAUUCAUUCGGAUGUAUGGAAGAGCCCAAUUGUGUCACUAAAUGGAAUGAAGUACUUUGUUACCUUUAUUGACUUC